rnacentral:rRNA from 1 species
AUUGAACGCUGGCGGCAUGCCUUACACAUGCAAGUCGAACGGCAGCACGGGAGCAAUCCUGGUGGCGAGUGGCGAACGGGUGAGUAAUGUAUCGGAACGUACCUUUCAGUGGGGGAUAACGUAGCGAAAGUUACGCUAAUACCGCAUAUUCUGUGAGCAGGAAGCAGGGGAUCGCAAGACCUUGCGCUGAUUGAGCGGCCGAUAUCAGAUUAGCUAGUUGGUGAGGUAAAGGCUCACCAAGGCGACGAUCUGUAGCGGGUCUGAGAGGAUGAUCCGCCACACUGGAACUGAGACACGGUCCAGACUCCUACGGGAGGCAGCAGUGGGGAAUUUUGGACAAUGGGCGCAAGCCUGAUCCAGCCAUGCCGCGUGAGUGAAGAAGGCCUCGGUU